GUGCGUGAUCAAAUCUGGACCGUCCGCAUACGUGAGAUCUGGACCAUCCACUCGAGCCUUUGAUCUGGACCGUCCGUGCACGGAAACGGAUCUCGGCCGUCCGAUUGCGCGCACGCAGAUCGCCCACAUGUCUUCGUCCCGCGUCAGCGUCCCUGCCACGCGGCGUGUCCUGGUUGCCCAUGCUGCCAUCGCUGCUGACGUGGCAUUAUUUUUAUAAAUUGCGUUUUGACCUCUGGUUUUCGAUUUUCAUUUCAAAAAUACCCCCA
rnacentral:lncRNA from 1 species